GGGCCAUUCCUUAAAUAUUAUCAUCUGAGAUCUCCCCUCUUUCUUGGCUGUACCUUUGCAGUCCUUUCAAACUCCUUUUUCUGGGGAAGGUAACUGGCAGCAGAAGUCCCAUUUGGGAAUCCUAGAGUGCCUUCUCCUGUGUGUACCCAGCCCAAUGCAAAUGAAACCCUUGUUCACAUGCAGUACUGAAGAAUGCCUCGGAGGACUACAGGUGUUCAAGUAACCAGAAAACAACAACUGCCAGUUCACACAAGUGACUUCUCAGUUCUACCUUGUCCACCCUGAAAGAAGUGCAAGAACUUAAAAUCAUGAAACCUGAGAAGCAAUUUCUGUGGUUAAAAGGCCAUUUAGGCAUAACAAAAUGAGGUGUUGCUGGCCAAAUAAGUAAAGGUAUUUAUUUUGCCUU